AAUGGAAGGAAACUCUGACCGAGCAACGCCGCGUGAAUGACGAAGUACUUCGGUAUGUAAAGUUCUUUUAUCAAGGAAGAAAAGCAAAUGGCGAACCAUUUGUUUGCCGGUACUUGAUGAAUAAGCCCCGGCUAAUUAUGUGCCAGCAGCCGCGGUAAGACAUAAGGGGCAAGUGUUAUCCGGAAUUAUUGGGCGUAAAGGGUGCGUAGGCGGUCUAGUAAGUCAGUGGUGUAAUGGCAACGCUUAACGUUGUCCGGCUAUUGAAACUGCUAAACUUGAGUUAGAUAGAGGCGAGUGGAAUUCCAUGUGUAGCGGUAAAAUGCGUAAAUAUAUGGAGGAACACCAGAGGCGUAGGCGGCUCGCUGGGUCUUAACUGACGCUGAGGCACGAAUGCGUGGGGAGCAAACAGGAUUAGAUACCCUGGUAGUCCACGCCGUAAACGGUGAGUACUAAGUGUCGGGUUAAACCGGUACUGAAGUUAACACAUUAAGUACUCCGCCCGAGUAGUACGUACGCAAGUAUGAAACUUAAAGGAAUUGACGGGACUCCGCACAAGCGGUGGAUCAUGUUGUUUAAUUCGAAGAUACCCGAAAAACCUUGCCAGGUCUUGACAUGUUCUUGCAAAAUGAUAGUAAUAUCGUGGAGGUUACCAGAAACACAGGUGGUGCAUGGUUGCCGUCAGCUCGUGUCGUGAGAUGUUAGGUUAAGUCCUAAAACGAGCGAAACCCUUAUCGUUAGUUGCCAGCACGUUAUGGUGGGGACUUUAACGAGACUGCCAAUGAUAAAUUGGUGGAAGGUGAGGAUCACGUCAAAUCAGCAUGCCCCUUAUGACC
rnacentral:rRNA from 1 species